CUCCAUUGGCUGGAGCUGGAACUCACA
rnacentral:piRNA from 1 species